rnacentral:rRNA from 1 species
UCAGCGGCGGACGGGUGAGUAAUGCCUAGGAAUCUGCCUGGUAGUGGGGGACAACGUUUCGAAAGGAACGCUAAUACCGCAUACGUCCUACGGGAGAAAGCAGGGGACCUUCGGGCCUUGCGCUAUCAGAUGAGCCUAGGUCGGAUUAGCUAGUUGGUGGGGUAAUGGCCCACCAAGGCGACGAUCCGUAACUGGUCUGAGAGGAUGAUCCGUCACACUGGAACUGAGACACGGUCCAGACUCCUACGGGAGGCAGCAGUGGGGAAUAUUGGACAAUGGGCGAAACCCUGAUCCAGCCAUGCCGCGUGUGUGAAGAAGGUCUUCUGAUUGUAAAGCACUUUAAGUUGGGAGGAA